rnacentral:rRNA from 1 species
GUUAUUUAAUACGUUUCUAAGAGUCGAGUUGUUUGGGAAUGCAGCUCUAAAUGGGUGGUAAAUUUCACUUAAUGCUAAAUAUAAGCGAGGAGCACCGAUAGCGAACAAGUACAGUGAUGGAAAGAUGAAAAGAACUUUGAAAAGAGAGUUAAAUAGUACGUGAAAUUGUUGAAAGGGAAACGAUUGAAGUCAGUCAUGCCGGUGGGAAUCAACUUAGGGGAAACUCUGAGUGCACUUCUUCGCUUGGCAGGUCAACGUUGAUUUUGGAUGUCAUAAAAUGAUUGAGGGAAGGUAGCUCCUUCGGGAGUGUUAUAGCCCUUGGUAGAUGUGAUGUCUGGGAUCAAGGAUUGCAAUGGAUACCCUUUGGGGCUAGCCGCCUGAUCUCUAAUUGGUAUUGGGUUACGGAUAGCAUGCUGACCGUGAUCUAAUUAUUGGUUAAAAGG